CCUACGGGUGGCAGCAGUGAGGAAUAUUGGUCAAUGGACGAGAGUCUGAACCAGCCAAGUAGCGUGAAGGAUGACUGCCCUAUGGGUUGUAAACUUCUUUUGUACGAGGGUAAACGCAGAUACGCGUAUCUGUCUGAAAGUAUCGUACGAAUAAGGAUCGGCUAACUCCGUGCCAGCAGCCGCGGUAAUACGGAGGAUUCAAGCGUUAUCCGGAUUUAUUGGGUUUAAAGGGUGCGUAGGCGGUCGGAUAAGUUAGAGGUGAAAUCCCGAGGCUCAACUUCGGAAUUGCCUCUGAUACUGUUCGGCUAGAGAGUAGUUGCGGUAGGCGGAAUGUAUGGUGUAGCGGUGAAAUGCUUAGAGAUCAUACAGAACACCGAUUGCGAAGGCAGCUUACCAAGCUACUUCUGACGUUGAGGCACGAAAGCGUGGGGAGCAAACAGGAUUAGAUACCCUUGUAGUC
rnacentral:rRNA from 1 species